CAGAUGUGUCUUCUGAAAGUGGACUUCCUUUUUUUCCAAUAUUGUAUGUGGUGGGGCUUACAUACUGAAGGCAGUAAUAUAAAGAUAAAAAAAUUCACAAAAAGUUAACUGGUAUUAAACCUGAACAUUUUGUUAGAACUGGUUAGAGUUGACAUAGAGCUUAAACACAAAGUGAUUAAGCUUGUGAUUUUUGUGCAACAUAAAAUGAGGGCUCUCUUGAGCUCCCUGUAUCAGGGCUGUUUGCUUGUUGUCUGUGAAAACUAUAGUUCUACCUUAAAGUUUUGAGGACAUAGCAUAAAAGAAAGACUAAAUAAUUCUCAAGGCCCUUUCAAUUCUGAGAUCCUAUCAUUCCUUUAGAAACAGACUUAAGAGCAAUAGAGAUUUACUUUUUCAUGAAAAUGAUUAAGACAAAUCUUACUUGAGAAACACAAUAAUAGCUACCAUUUAUUGAGUACUUAUUAUGUGCCAGGCAUUUAGCAUAAAUGUUGUUUUUCACUGAAUCUUUCAAUAGCCCUGUGAGGGAAGGUUAUUAUUUUUGCUGCACUGAUGAAUAAAUAGAAGCUUGGAGAAGUUAAGUAGGGUAGCUAGGCCUCAGGUUGGCUGGCUGAUUCCCUGUACUUCCACUGCCUUCUCUGGCUUCUCAUCAAUUAAGUAAGCAUGGGGCUAACCUUUGAGUCAAGGAGGGACUUGCCUAGGGAGUUGAAUGUGAGGGUGACCUGGCUAUGACCCUGCCACCCCAUUGAUUGCCAGAGCCCAUUAGACUGAUGUGGUGGCCCGGUGUCUUCUUUCUCCCUCACCUCUGUCCACGUCAGCCUUCAAGUCUCAGGCUCAGACAACAGGAAUGACAUAACCCCGUUAAAGGAGCAUUCAUCCUCUGUAGGUCCAGGCAAUGUGAACACUGCUCAGUGAGGCUUCAAGAUGGGGCUUUUCUGUGACCCUGCAAUGCCUCCCAAAGUGUUGACAUGAACACUGUGGGAAGGUGCUUACUGGGUCUCUCUCUGCGGGUCACCUAUCUCUCCUCCAAUAUCACUCAGGCAAACUUUUAGGGGAGUUUUGGGAUUGAUACUUUUAGCUUGCUCCUCCACUGUUGGUCUCUCUCUUUCUUUUUUUUUUUUUUUUCAAAUAAAAUACAUGGAGAGUUGAGGAUGGAUCAUCUAUUUCAAAGAAAGUCCUUUGCAUUUCAAUUCAUUGCCCAUUUAAUUAAAGGAAUGGAGAAAAUAUGCUGUCAUGGAAGCAUUUACUCAAUACAUUAGAGAAAUAGCUCAUUCUUACAUAGGAAUUACCCCUGUCAAAUCAAUGAAGUGGGGUCACUGAGCACAUAAAUUCUGUUUACAUAAUCUUAAGCCAACAGAGAUAAAGAAUGCAUUUCCUCUUAAAAAAAAAAGUUUGAUUUAAAAUUUGAAAUGGGCCUAAAUUGCUAUUGGUUUUGAUCUGGCAAGAACCCCUCAAUAAAGCUGGUACCUAUCUGCUGUCCCAUAAAUUACUUUCAGCAAUUCUGAAGGUAAAGGGAAUCAAGUCUUCCUCUCUUCAAAUAAAAGGAAAAAACGAGACAACGUGUGUAAAACACUCAGGGCCUGCAAUAUGAUGAAUGCUCCUCAGCUGUUAGUUGCUCUUGUGGUGGUGGUGGUUGCUGCUUUAUUUGGAGUCAGUUUCC
rnacentral:lncRNA from 10 species